UCUGCAGUCCCAUCUCAGGAUGCUGGGCGGUGGCAGUGAGUCGCAGCUCUUGAGUCAGCCACGCUGCCACUCUGGGAAACAGUGGAUACGUUACCAAUAUGUGUGGCUAAGGUCUGGUGUCCAGCAGAUUGGUACAUGAUCAAAUGCCGAGAGUUCCUCAGCUAGCCGUGGGAUUUCAUGCCCACCUUCUCCCUCUGUGCCUGGAUUUUGUCUGGCUUGAGGUGCACAGCUCUAACACAUGUCAUCACAGUCCCUGCUCCUUGGAUUUGUGGAAAGCAUGAAGCCAGGUUGCUCUGCUUGCUUCUGCCUUCUGCACUGUACCAGACUUCUCGUGAUGAUAGCUCUGAGCUAACCGUCUGAUUGACGGAGAGGAGGAGAGAGAAGCCGAUGGAAGGGGAACCCACCGAAUCUCAAAAUACAGAAUCCUGUCCCACAAGCAGGAGACAGCCAAGGUUCCCCAAACUCGGAAGUGGGAGAGGAGUAGAAGGGGAUGGACCUGAGACGUGUGAAGAAGAACUGUGGCUGUAUGCAGACCAGUGAGGUGUGGGCAUCGCAGAACGGAGUCUGAAGCAGCCCUGUGAUACAAGCACAUCCCUAGAACAAAGUAGUUAGUGAUUGUCAUUCUAAAUGGACCUUCAGUUACCUACAAGUCAAUAACCGACUCAUCUACCCACUGUACUCAGUAAACUCAACACAAUAGAAAUGAACAUGUAUAUAUCCUGGGCUGUGGAGAUGGCUCAGCAGGUAAAGGUUGCUGGAGAGACUGAUGACCUGAGUUCAAUCCCUGGGACCCUCACAGUAGAAGAGGAGAGUUGAAUUC